rnacentral:rRNA from 1 species
GCCAUCAUUUAAAGAAAGCGUAAUAGCUCACUGGUCGAGUCGGCCUGCGCGGAAGAUGUAACGGGGCUAAACCAUGCACCGAAGCUGCGGCAGCGGCACGAAUGUGUUGUUGGGUAGGGGAGCGUUCUGUAAGCCUGCGAAGGUGUGCCGUGAGGCAUGCUGGAGGUAUCAGAAGUGCGAAUGCUGACAUAAGUAACGAUAAAGCGGGUGAAAAACCCGCUCGCCGGAAGACCAAGGGUUCCUGUCCAACGUUAAUCGGGGCAGGGUGAGUCGACCCCUAAGGCGAGGCCGACAGGCGUAGUCGAUGGGAAACAGGUUAAUAUUCCUGUACUCGGUGUUACUGCGAAGGGGGGACGGAGAAGGCUAGGCCAGCCGGGCGACGGUCGUCCCGGUUUAAGCGUGUAGGUGUGUGCUCCUGGCAAAUCCGGAGUACUGCAACACUGAGGCGUAAUGACGAGGCACUACGGUGCUGAAGUGGUUGAUGCCCUGCUUCCAGGAAAAGCCUCUAAGCACCAGGUAACACUGAAUCGUACCCCAAACCGACACAGGUGGUCAGGUAGAGAAUACUCAGGCGCUUGAGAGAACUCGGGUGAAGGAACUAGGCAAAAUGGUGCCGUAACUUCGGGAGAAGGCACGCUGGCAUUAGGUGAAGAGACAUGCGCUCGGAGCUGAAGCCAGUCGCAGAUACCAGCUGGCUGCAACUGUUUAAUAAAAACACAGCACUGUGCAAACACGAAAGUGGACGUAUACGGUGUGACGCCUGCCCGGUGCUGGAAGGUUAAUUGAUGGGGUCAGCCGCAAGGCGAAGCUCUUGAUCGAAGCCCCAGUAAACGGCGGC